GGAAGUAAAAGCGUAACAAGGUUUCCGUAGGUGAACCUGCGGAAGGAUCAUUAUUGUAUAACCGAGGUGCGAGGGCUGUCUCUGACCCGAAAGGUCGUGCACGCCCGAGUGCCCUCACACACAUCCAUCUCACCCCUAUGUGCACCACCGCGUGGGUCCCCCUUUGGCUUGUUCGGAGGGGGGCUUACGUUUUCACACAAACUUUGUAUGCAGUGUAGAAUGUAUUUUUUGUUUUUGCGAUCACGCAAUCAAUACAACUUUCAACAACGGAUCUCUUGGCUCUC
rnacentral:misc_RNA from 1 species